rnacentral:rRNA from 1 species
GACGAACGCUGGCGGCGUGCUUAACACAUGCAAGUCGAACGGAAAGGCCCUGCUUUUGUGGGGUGCUCGAGUGGCGAACGGGUGAGUAACACGUGAGUAACCUGCCCUUAACUUUGGGAUAACUUCAGGAAACUGGGGCUAAUACCGGAUAGGAGCUCCUGCUGCAUGGUGGGGGUUGGAAAGUUUCGGCGGUUGUGGAUGGACUCGCGGCUUAUCAGCUUGUUGGUGUGGUAGUGGCUUACCAAGGCUUUGACGGGUAGCCGGCCUGAGAGGGUGACCGGCCACAUUGGGACUGAGAUACGGACCAGACUCGUACGGGAGGUAGCAGUGGGGAAUAUUGCAGAAUGGGCGGAAGCCUGAUGCAGAGACGCCGCGUGCGGGAUAACGGCCUUCGAGUUAUGAACCGAUUUCGCCUGUGACGAGGAGUGAGUGACGGUAAUGGGUAAAGAAGCACCGGCUAACUACGUG